rnacentral:rRNA from 1 species
UACGUAGGGUGCGAGCGUUGUCCGGAAUUAUUGGGCGUAAAGGGCUCGUAGGCGGUUUGUCGCGUCGGGAGUGAAAACACCGGGCUUAACUCGGUGCUUGCUUUCGAUACGGGCAGGCUAGAGGCAUGCAGGGGAGAACGGAAUUCCUGGUGUAGCGGUGAAAUGCGCAGAUAUCAGGAGGAACACCGGUGGCGAAGGCGGUUCUCUGGGCAUGUCCUGACGCUGAGGAGCGAAAGCAUGGGGAGCGAACAGG